GACAGAGGGUGCAAACGUUUGUUCGGAAUUACUGGGCGUAAAGCGCGUGUAGGCGGCUAAGUAAGUCGGGCGUGAAAUCCCACGGCUCAACCGUGGAAGUGCACUCGAAACUGCAUAGCUAGAGUCCUGGGAGAGGAAGGUGGAAUGCUUGGUGUAGAGGUGAAAUUCGUAGAUAUCAAGCGGAACACCGGUGGCGAAGGCGGCCUUCUGG
rnacentral:rRNA from 1 species